GGAAGAUCGUCAUCUCCGGUGAGGUGGCUGGACUUCAAAUUCAGUUGGGGGCGCCAGCGUUCCCGGGCAGGUUCGACUCCUGUGAUCUUCCGCCA
rnacentral:tRNA from 1 species